rnacentral:rRNA from 1 species
CCUACGGGAGGCAGCAGUGGGGAAUAUUGGACAAUGGGCGCAAGCCUGAUCCAGCCAUGCCGCGUGAGUGAUGAAGGCCUUAGGGUUGUAAAGCUCUUUCGGCGGGGACGAUAAUGACGGUACCCGCAGAAGAAGCCCCGGCUAACUUCGUGCCAGCAGCCGCGGU